GUUGCCCUACAUCACUGAUGGACACAGAGUCAUGGAGAGCUGAGGCCUCGUGUUAGGAGCCUGGUGUCUGGGGGCAUGGCAAACGCCUUCCGGUCCUCGCAGGAACACCUGCUGUGUCUCUGGGGUUUAAGCUUAGCUCAACCAGAAAACAGGCUGCCUUUCACCAUCCCACAGGGCCAGACUGAGGGAGAUUCUGGUUUGCCACCAGCAUUGACAUCUGGGAGACGGACCCCUCUGGAUCUAACAAGACGAAGUUAAGAACAGCGAUGAGUCCACUAUCGUCUGACUGCAAAGUAGUGAAUUCAAGACUCAGAAUGUGUGGCAUGGUGGGAAAUAGAGCUUUGAGGUCAACCUGAACUCACCAGAAUGUUGGUUAGUUACCAGAACCAUACAGAGGACACUGCCCCUGAGGGAUCCAUGGGUGCAGAAACUCACGACCAUGUUAAGUCAAGAUUAUAACUUAAAUAUAUGAUAAAGUCAUUGGCCCCGACUGAACGGUCUCCGUGAAGGGCUCUCAGAGAAGGCUUCUGCUCACAUGAGGACAGCGCAUCUGAGUGGAGAGAUUGGCUUGUCUUCAAAUCUUGUCUCUACUGGUCUGCUGGAGAGGCGCCCCACAGAAUCCAGAGAAACAGGGAACCAUGCUCUAGAAGGAAGGGAUCCUUUGGAGGACACCAGCUAACCCUGGAAGCUGCAGGGAGCUACAGAGAAGAGUAGGCAGAGCCCUUCAGUCGGACCAGAGAGACAAUGAAACACCUAACUAAGAAACCAUCAGAGAGAAAAACAGGCCAGCGUGUUGUAGAGCCCUUCGUGGCCCAUGCAGUCAGAGAGCUGCUGGAACCUCCCUUCCAAGACAGGAGACAAAGAGCAGUAGACAAUAAGAUCAGCCACUGCCAGCUCCUGACAAGAGUGUCCCUGUCACCUUGUGCACCUGACUCCAGUGCUCCUAUAUUCAGUGCUCCUGGCAUCAGUGCUCCUAAAACCAGAGCUUCUGCUAUCUCCUGCUCCUGCCACCAAGUUCCUGGCACCUCCUGCUCUUAACAUCAGGGCUCAUACCACAGUGCUCCUGCCACCAGUAUUCCUGCCACCAAGUUCCUAGCUCCAGCCAAAGUGCUCCUGACACCACUGCUCCUAACACCAGUGCUCCUGACACCAAGCUCCUAAAACCAGUGCUCCUGCCACAGUGCUCAGGUUACAAGGCUCCGGACAACAGUGAGCCUGAAACACAGUGCUCCUCCUACACCUGCUCCCACCACAGUGCUCCUGCCACAGUGCCCCUGACACCAAUGCUCCUGACACCAAUGCUCCACCCACAGUGCUCCACCCACAGUGCUCCUGCUAUGACCUGCUCCUGCCACAGUGCUCCUGCUCCCUCCCUCCUCCUGCAGCAAUGCUCCUGCACCAGUGCUCCUGUAACCUCCUGCUCCUGCCACCAUAUGAUCCUGACAACAGGGAUCCUUCCACCAUGUGAUCCUGACUCCAAUGCUUCUCCCAGAGUCGUCCUGUCACCAAUGCUCCUGCCACCAGUGUUCUUCCUUCCAUGUGUUCCUGACACAGUGCUCCUUACACCAGUGUUCCUGACUCCAGUGCUCCCGACAAGUGCUCCUUCUACCUCUUGCUCCUGCGACCAGUGCUCCUGAGACCUGUGUUCCUUCCACCAUGUGCUCCUGACAACCUGUGCUCCUGGCACCAGUCCUCCUGCCACCAUGUGCUCUUGCCACCAGUGAUCCUGACUCCAAUGCUCCUGAUUCCAAUGUUCUACCUACAGUGCUCCUGCCACAGUACACCUGCCACCAAUAUUCCUGCCACAGUGCUCCUACCACCUGUGCUCCUGCCACCAGUGCUCUUUCCACCAUGUCAUGAUACCAGUUCUCUUUCCACCAUGUACUCCUCACAGCAAUGCUCCUCCUUCCAUGUCCUCCGGACACAGUGCUCCUUCUACCUCCCGCUCCUGCCACCCAUGGCCCUGACACCAGUGCUCCUUCCAAAACGUGCUCCUAACACCUUGUGCUCCUGCCACCAGUGCUCCUGACUCCAAUGCUCUACCCACAGUGCUCCUGCCACCUGUGCUCCUCCUGCCUUGUGCUCCUGACAAUAGUGAUCCUUCCACCAUGUGUUCCUGACACCACUGCUCCUGCUACUGUGAGACCCCGACUUAGAGCGUUUCUCCCUGGAAGCCCCAGCCUGCCUUUCAGGAGGACCCAGUUCCUGUGGCCACGGGCAGCCACAGCUCCUGACACCAGUGUUCCUUCUACCAUGUGCUCCUGACAACAGUGCCCUUUCCAUCAUGUGAUCAUAACACCAGUGCUCCUGACCUCAGGGCUCCUGACUCCAAUUCUCCUCUGACACCAGUGCUCCACCCACAGUGCUCCUGCACCAGUGCUCCUGUAACCUCCUGCUCCUGCCAGCAUAUGAUUCUGACAACAGGGCUCCUUCCACCUUGUGACCCUGACUCCAAUGCUCCAACCACAGUGCUGCUGACACCACGUGCUCGUGACACCACGUGAUCCUUCCACGUGUUCCUGCCACCGUCCUCCUUACCCCAGUGCUCCUGACUUCAGUGCUCCUGACAACUGUGCUCCUGACACCAGUGCUCCUGACACCAGUGCUCCUGACACAUUGAUCCUUCCACAGUGCACCUUGCCACCACUGUCCCUGCCACAGUGCUCCUGCCACCCAUGCUCCUCCUGCCAUGUGCUCCUGACAACAGUGAUUCUUCCACCAUGUGUUCCUGACACCACUGCUCCUGACCCCAGUGCUCCCUACCACAGCUCUUCUGUCUCCUGCCACAGUGCUCCUGCCACCCUGUGCUCCUGACACCAGUCCUCCUCCUUACUUGUGUUCCUGACACAGUGCUCCUGACACAGUGCUCCUGACUUCAGUGCUCCUGCUACCUCCUACUCCUACCACCAGACAUCAAUGCUCCUUACACCAGUGCUACUGAAACCAGUGACCCAAACACCAAGGGUCUAGACUUUAGUCCUUCUGACUCCAGUGCUCCUGACUCCGGUGCUCCUGACACCAGUGCUCCUGACUCCAGUGCUCCUGGCCCCAGUGCUCCUGACUUUAGUCUUCCUGACAACAGUGCUCCUGCCACAGUGCUCCUGCUAACUUCUCCUCCUUGCACAGUGCUCCUCCCAACAGUACUCCUGCCAGUGCUCCCCCUAUCACCUGCUUCUAACACCAGUGCUCCUGACACCACCACUUUCCCUCUUCAGACUCUGAACAAAAUAAACCUGUCUUUCUUUAAGCUGUCACAGCAAACAGAAAAGUAACUAACUAACCUGGGCAGCUGCCUCUCCUGGCUUCCAGGGACAUAGGCUGUCAUGCAGUGGGCAAGCUCCACGCCAGUGUCCCAGUGUCCUUCCCAGCCCUCUGCACAUCCAGGACUCCCAGCCACUGUGGAAGGAACUCCUUACAGCAAGGCCCGGAAUCCCCCCUGAGCAGCUCACAGGCUGACUAGGAAACACUCACACCAACCCUCCAGGUGGGGCAACAGCAGAAUCAUCCAAGGAAAUGGGCUUGCUGGGGCAACAUGAGCAGAGUCCAUUCUCACAAGAACUUUUUGCUAUCUGGGUAUUUUGUCUUCCAAUAUUCAGGGCCAGCAGGACACCAGCUCCCAGCCAGUGUUUGAGGCUCUGCUACAGCACUGAGGAAAUCCAUUGUGGUACUAAUUAAUGAGCACCUGCCAGGAGAUGGGCUCUUUGCUAGAUACUGGAACAGGAAGCAGGCCCUUCCAGGGAUGCUGGGGCAGGAGGCAGGACCUGUGCUGGAUGCUGAGAUUAUAUUUAGAAAAAAAAAAAGUCUCUACACUCCCAGAAAUUACUUUCCAAUGUACAUUAAAAUAUCAAUAUUGGGGCUGG